UUUUAAAGAAAAUGGCCACCUGUUUGCUAAUAUCAGGAUUUUGUUGUGGAAGUUAUGUCAAAGUUUAUAAUGUGAAUGAGGCAGCAGCUCGAAAAAUGCCACAAAUUUGCUGUUUAAUUUUGGGAAAGAAAUUAUGGAAAACAGCAAGUUUCUGACUCAAAUUCAUACUUUGUCCUUUUUCUUUCUAAGAUAUUAAUGAAUGUGACGACACGAAUACCUGUAUUGGCGGUACAUGCACAAACACUGUUGGUAAUUUCUCAUGUACCUGUAAUGAAGGUUAUAUGAAGCAGGGAAAUGCUUGUAUAGGUA